AAUCAUCAAAGGCAAAUACAUGGAAACAUGUAGACGCAAAGUCUCAGAGCUAAUGGGUAAACCUAUGCUGGCUGGAUUGCACGA
rnacentral:ncRNA from 1 species